CAGAGCGAGUUGCCGUCUGGGAUGCGGUGGCCGCCUACGUACAGGAGCACCUCCUGGUGCAGAAGGGGGUCUGGAUUCCCACCUUCGGCUCAUUCGACACCAUCUCUAAAGACAUCAGGACUGCGGACGGGACCGUGACUCUGCGGUGGCCCGUGUUUCAGC
rnacentral:lncRNA from 7 species